GAUGAACGCUGGCGGCGUGCCUAAUACGUGCAAGUCGAGCGAACAGACGAGGAGCUUGCUCCUUUGACGUUAGCGGCGGACGGGUGAGUAACACGUAGGUAACCUACCUAUAAGACUGGGAUAACUUCGGGAAACCGGAGCUAAUACCGGAUAAUAUUUCGAACCGCAUGGUUCGAUAGUGAAAGAUGGCUUUGCUAUCACUUAUAGAUGGACCUGCGCCGUAUUAGCUAGUUGGUAAGGUAACGGCUUACCAAGGCAACGAUACGUAGCCGACCUGAGAGGGUGAUCGGCCACACUGGAACUGAGACACGGUCCAGACUCCUACGGGAGGCAGCAGUAGGGAAUCUUCCGCAAUGGGCGAAAGCCUGACGGAGCAACGCCGCGUGAGUGAUGAAGGUCUUCGGAUCGUAAAACUCUGUUAUUAGGGAAGAACAAACGUGUAAGUAACUGUGCACGUCUUGACGGUACCUAAUCAGAAAGCCACGGCUAACUACGUG
rnacentral:rRNA from 1 species